rnacentral:rRNA from 1 species
GAUGAACGCUGGCGGUAUGUUUAAGGCAUGCAAGUCUAACGGUAAAUUUAUUUACCGUGGCAAACGGGAGAGUAACACAUUGGUAACUUACCCUUAACUCAAGUAUAACCCAGUGAAAAUUGGGACAAUCCUUGAUAGUCCAUAGUUUAUACGCAAGAUUAAAUUAUGGUAAAGAUUUAUCGGUUAAGGAUAGGCCUAUGGCUUAUCAGCUUGUUGGUGAGGUAAUGGCUCACCAAGGCUAUGACGAGUAACGGGCGUGAGAGCGUGACCCGUCCCACUGGAACUGAGACACUGUCCAGACUCCUACGGGAGGCUGCAGUCAAGAAUCUUUCGCAAUGGCCGAAAGGCUGACGGAGCAAUACCGCGUGAAGGAUUAAGCCCUUCGGGUGUAACGUUCUUU